rnacentral:misc_RNA from 1 species
AACCUAGCACACCUGCGGUGUGUACCUGCGGAGGGAUCAUUACCGAGUUUACAACUCCCAAACCCCUGUGAACAUACCUAUACGUUGCCUCGGCGGAUCAGCCCGCGCCCCGUAAAAAGGGACGGCCCGCCCGAGGACCCCUAAACUCUGUUUUUAGUGGAACUUCUGAGUAAAACAAACAAAUAAAUCAAAACUUUCAACAAUGGAUCU